GGAGAACGGUGCCAGAGAGCUGGCUCUCCGGGUGACGAGCGGCGGACGGGUGAGUAAUGUCUGGGAAACUGCCUGAUGGAGGGGGAUAACUACUGGAAACGGUAGCUAAUACCGCAUAACGUCGCAAGACCAAAGUGGGGGACCUUCGGGCCUCAUGCCAUCAGAUGUGCCCAGAUGGGAUUAGCUGGUAGGUGGGGUAACGGCUCACCUAGGCGACGAUCCCUAGCUGGUCUGAGAGGAUGACCAGCCACACUGGAACUGAGACACGGUCCAGACUCCUACGGGAGGCAGCAGUGGGGAAUAUUGCACAAUGGGCGCAAGCCUGAUGCAGCCAUGCCGCGUGUGUGAAGAAGGCCUUCGGGUUGUAAAGCACUUUCAGCGGGGAGGAAGGCGGUGAGGUUAAUAACCUCAUCGAUUGACGUUACCCGCAGAAGAAGCACCGGCUAACUCCGUGCCAGCAGCCGCGGUAAUACGGAGGGUGCAAGCGUUAAUCGGAAUUACUGGGCGUAAAGCGCACGCAGGCGGUCUGUCAAGUCGGAUGUGAAAUCCCCGGGCUCAACCUGGGAACUGCAUUCGAAACUGGCAGGCUAGAGUCUUGUAGAGGGGGGUAGAAUUCCAGGUGU
rnacentral:rRNA from 1 species